rnacentral:lncRNA from 1 species
AUCAGAACGAGGGGAGACCGCGGCUCGCGGCGAGGGCGUCUCGGGGCUCUGCCCGGCUCCCCGAGGCUCCGCCGGCCGCGCGCGCUUGGGAGGACUCGCAGCCCAGAGCGGGCGGGGUUGACUUCGCCCGCUGCCCGGCCCCCCGCCCUCCGGUGCCGCCCUCCCUGCGCCGUCCGUCGGGGGCGGGCCUGGGCGGGGCAGCGGAGCCGAGCGCCAGCGGGCUCAGGCGGGCAGUCCCGGGACGCGGGAUGCUCUGCGCGUUUCCUCGCGGCCCCUGAGGCCACCAGCCCGCCGCCCGCCUCGCUCGCCCCAGCUCUGGCCGCUGCGCCCGCCGGUCCCGAGAGCAAUGAAGACACCGUAGGAAUCAAUCUUAACUGGUUUCAGCAAAAACAGGGGAUCUGAGCUUGGCGUGAUGCCAUUAGCCACUGAAAAUAUUCACUACUUCUCCCUACCCUCUAGCUGAUGCAUUUGGAAGUUUUCUGUAAAUGUUUAUGUCUGAAUGCUAUAUAGAAGUGUUUUUAAAUGUGUGUAAAAUAGACGUAAGUUUUUAUUUUCUCAAAAUGAUUCUCAAGCCAAACAUCGUAAAAGUAGAUAGUCUUGGUAUUGGGAACAACAUGUUGGAAGACAAUAAGCAAACAAAGUAAAAAGAGAGAGAGGAAGGAAGGAAUCUUAUUUUUAAAAAAAAUGUGCUUUUUACCCAGCGUUCCAUUCCAUUGUGGGGUGCUCUCUUAAGGUCUUCAAAUUAGUGAAUGGGCUAGUAAAACUUAAGCAUUUAUUUUCAAAAGCUUAAGAACAUUUUAAAAAUCCUUAUGAUUUUUAGGUAGGCUUAUUUUUCCAUUUCCAUUCAGUUCUAAAUACAGAUUAUCACACUAUUCUGUGUUUUCCUCAUCAUUUUUAUAAGAAGGAAAAUGUGUUACAAUCACAACAUCAGUUGCGAUUAGGAGCUUCUUUAAAAAAUGGUUAUCAUGGAAAAUCAAGCAAUUUGGGAGGAGCCCAUUCAACUUUUGGGAGCCAGGGAUCCUUGCCCCUCCUUACUCUGGUUACUUGAGUAUCAGUAAUUCAAAAGGAAGCGUUUUAUUGCCAUAAGUGCCCAAACUUGCCUGGGGGAUACAGUGAUGUUCACCUGCUGUCUUCGACCUUGUUUCCCAGUCCAGGUUCAAGGAAAAGAUUGGGUCAAAUCUAUGCCUAAUUCCAG